rnacentral:rRNA from 1 species
CACGUAGGGCGCAAGCGUUGUCCGGAAUUAUUGGGCGUAAAGAGCUCGUAGGCGGUCUGUUGCGUCCGCUGUGAAAACUCGGGGCUUAACCCCGAGCCUGCAGUGGAUACGGGCAGACUAGAGGUAGGUAGGGGAGAAUGGAAUUCCCGGUGUAGCGGUGAAAUGCGCAGAUAUCUGCAGGAACACCCGUGGCGAAAGCGGCGCGCUGGACCACUACUGACGCUGAGGAACGAAAGCUAGGGGAGCAAACAGG